rnacentral:rRNA from 1 species
CCUACGGGUGGCAGCAGUGGGGAAUAUUGGGCAAUGGGCGCAAGCCUGACCCAGCAACGCCGCGUGAAGGAAGAAGGCUUUCGGGUUGUAAACUUCUUUUCUGAGGGACGAAGAAAGUGACGGUACCUCAGGAAUAAGCCACGGCUAACUACGUGCCAGCAGCCGCGGUAAUACGUAGGUGGCAAGCGUUAUCCGGAUUUAUUGGGUGUAAAGGGCGUGUAGGCGGGAAAGCAAGUCAGAUGUGAAAACUCAGGGCUCAACCCUGAGCCUGCAUUUGAAACUGUUUUUCUUGAGUGCUGGAGAGGCAAUCGGAAUGCCGGGUGGAGGGGGGAAAUGCGUAGAUAUACGGAGGAAUACCAGGGGCGAAGGCGGAUUGCUGGACAGUAAAGGACGCUGAGGCGCGAAAGCGUGGGGAGCAAACAGGAUUAGAUACCCUUGUAGUC